UAUUAAGCUGAUAGCAAAGUGGGAG
rnacentral:piRNA from 1 species